rnacentral:lncRNA from 1 species
CGUUGGUCCAGCGUGGCCCUCCCAGGCCAGCCCAGGGAUUUACGCUCCGCCCUGGCUCUGCAAGCCCUUUGUGAGUCUCUGGUGGCCAGCUCAGAAUGACCAAAGCAGGGCGGGCUUUCUAUGGUCAUUUCUUUACCGCACAUGACAUAAACCACCCGAGAGCCCCAGUGAACGGCAGGAGAAAUGAACAUCUUUGGGAAAGUUUGGUGGAAAACCAGCCCGUAGAGCCGUGAGAGACACAGGAUUCACUUUUGGCACUCUCGCCUGGCUCAGCCACCUGGAAUCAAGGAAGACAGCACAGUGCUGACCCCACGCUCCUGCCAAUGCUCACUUCCUCCCCUGGGGUCAUUUCCCAGGAGCAGAGCUGCAGGCCGGGGCCUCUGUCUGCCUGUGGUAGGCACCCACACUCAUUCUCAUCUGGUUCCUUGUAAGUCUUCUAUUGCAAAAUCUUCUCAGGACUUGGAGACAUGCUAUUCUCGGUUUCCCCAAUAACAAAAUGAAAGUGCAAAGGUGCCGUGUCAGCAGGUGGGCCGUGGACUUCGCACCUGGGUGAUGGUGAACCUGCCUCCAAAAUUGCCAUGGGUCCAAAGAGGCGCCAAUUCCUGGCAAAACUGAUGACAUUUAUGAAUUUUAUUUCUGGUUGCAACCUGAUUUUGUUAUGGACCUAUACUGACGUCAGUAAUAAACAAUAAUAAGAUUGUAAACUAUUGCUCUUUAUAAUAAAAUAAUGCCUCUUGGCUGUAUUAUAAAUCUAAUAGCUAUUACAUCAGCACUCAUAACUAUAUAUCAUGCUUACCUUUUAAAUAUACACAGGGUAUUAGAUGGCUCAACAGAAGCGGCCAGAUUUAUUAUUACUGCUUAGCCAUAGCUUUUAUUACGUCACAAAUGACUAAUAGGUAAAAAAUGAAGGGAGAUGCAAUUACAGAGAUGAUCUAUCCCAUGACUUUGGGGGGCAG